AAGAUGUGACCUUUAUCUCAGACUAGAGACAGAUGUAGGCCCUGCCUCCCAUGGUAGAAGGCUAGACAUACAAUCCCUGUGUGCGUAGCAGGUGAUAGCGAACAUGGAAGGUCUUAGCUCUGAACAGCAACGCUGGCUUUGCUGGGCCUCAGUGCUGGAGAAUGUCAUCUGUUUUCGUGCAAGCACUAGACAGUGGCCGGCGCAUUUCAGGAAAAUGGGUGGAGUGGGUGGAAACACGUAACCAGACCCAAUAAAGUUUUAACUUUUAUUCCUGCCUAACAUAUAGCAUGUUUUCUGCAAAAUUAUGAGUUAAAUAUAAUUUAACAGAUAAGGUGUUUAAAGUAGACGUGACAAUUUAAAAACUCUAAUGAAGACAGAAAGAAAAAGAGCCAGUAAACCAAACCAAACAAAAACAAAAUAAGUAAAAUAAGAAUACAAUCUCUCCAACUUAGAGAUAGUCCAUCCAUUCCUCUUCUUUCACUCACAGGUGGAAGGUCUCUGGAGCCACCGUAUGGAUCAGAUUCCAGAGUAAAAGGGGAUAAUGCGUGGUCGUGGCAGGAAGUGCAGAAAAGGAUUCCUGAUCUUUAUGCUUCUCGACAUUAUUGACCAUGAGAUGAUGUCCAGUUUCCAAGAAGGUGACCCACAAACCUUGGAUAUUCAUGAAGAUGAGGAAGAUCUGGAGGUAUGCUAUUUGUAUCAGAGAAGGAAUGUCUGCCAUUCUCCCAGAAAACAGUUCGUCAACCACAAGGACAUACAACCUUCAAAGCAUUGAGGUGUUCCAGAUUUCGAGAAUACAGCUGUAGACGUCGGAUCAAGGAAUAGAUCUGGGCGGAAGGGUUUUACUCCGUUCGCAUUCUCCACUCUGAAUAUCUUCUCUGAUGGAAUGAGAAUAAUUCAAAUUACAAGAAAGGAUGCAGCAGGAAGAUAUUUCAGUGGCAGCCAGGCCCUGAAUUGGUUCACCCUCCCUGGAUGGGCGCCCAGUGAAAAUGUUGCAGAGCCGAGGCCAGCACUCAACAGGAUGAAUGUGCCACUAGGAUAGAGUUUUAAUCAAUAAGAGGAAUAAUAUGAUGGAGUUGCAUGCAACUCUGCAUCUCCGCGAGUGAACAAGAUAUAUGGAGAUAUCCUGAAAUUGGUCAUCUCGCCUCAACAUUUCCUUGAAGCUAAGUUCCUGAGAAAAAUAGGAGACUCCAGCCUCCAGAGCAUUGAGGUGCUGAUUCUGUUUGCUGCCACCAUGCAUGCUGCCCCCCUGUGGUCUGCCCCCAAGCCACAGUGAACUGUGUCCAUCAGAGUCCAGGAUCUUUGGAUAAUGGAUCAUCUUCAGACGAAGGCAAGAGCAUUGAUGAUAAUAUCCCUGAGUAUUGCUAGAUACUACAUUCUGGAAGGGAAUAAAAAGACAGCACAACCAUUUGA